rnacentral:rRNA from 1 species
CAUGCAAGUCGAACGGAGUAGCAAUACUUAGUGGCAGACGGGUGAGUAACAUGUGGGUAUCUUCCCUUUGGUGAGGAAUAACACGAGGAAACUUGUGCUAAUACUUCAUAAGUCUUUACGGAGAAAGCUUUAUGCGCCAAUGGAUGAGCCUGCACUUGAUUAGUCUGUUGGUAGGGUAAUGGCCUACCAAGACUGUGAUCAAUAGCUGAUUUGAGAGGAUGAUCAGCCACAUUGGGACUGAGACACGGCCCAAACUCCUACGGGAGGCAGCAGUAGGGAAUCUUGCACAAUGGAGGAAACUCUGAUGCAGCGAUGCCGCGUGAGUGAAGAAGGCCUUUGGGUUGUAAAGCUCUUUCGUCGGGGAAGAAAAUGACUGUACCCGAAUAAGAAGGUCCGGCUAACUUCGUGCCAGCAGCCGCGGUAAUACGAAGGGACCUAGCGUAGUUCGGAAUUACUGGGCUUAAAGAGUUCGUAGGUUGUUAAAAAAGUUGGUGGUGAAAUCCCAGAGCUUAACUCUGGAACUGCCAUCAAAACUUUUUAGCUAGAGCUUGAUAGAGGAAAACAGAAUUUCUAGUGUAGAGGUGAAAUUCGUAGAUAUUAGAAAGAAUACCAAUUGCGAAGGCAGUUUUCUGGAUCAUUACUGACACUGAGGAACGAAAGCAUGGGUAGCGAAGAGGAUUAGAUACCCUCGUAGUCCAUGCCGUAAACGAUGUGUGUUAGACGUUGGAAAUUUAUUUUCAGUGUCGCAGCGAAAGCAAUAAACACACCGCCUGGGGAGUACGACCGCAAGGUUAAAACUCAAAUGAAUUGACGGGGACCCGCACAAGUAGUGGAGCAUGUGGUUUAAUUCGAAGAUACGCGCAGAACCUUACCAACACUUGACAUGUUCGUCGCGACUUUAAGAGAU